rnacentral:rRNA from 1 species
UACGGGGGGGGCAAGCGUUGUUCGGAAUUACUGGGCGUAAAGGCUCGUAGGCGGCCAACUAAGUCAGACGUGAAAUCCCUCGGCUUAACCGGGGAACUGCGUCUGAUACUGGAUGGCUUGAGUGUGGGAGAGGAAUGCGGAAUUCCAGGUGUAGCGGUGAAAUGCGUAGAUAUCUGGAGGAACACCGGUGGCGAAGGCGGCAUUCUGGACCAUUACUGACGCUGAGGAGCGAAAGCCAGGGGAGCAAAGCGGG